rnacentral:rRNA from 1 species
GGCUCGCGCUUCACUCAACCCCUGUGACAUACCACUUGUUGCCUCGGCGGAUCAGCCCGCUCCCGGUAAAACGGGACGGCCCGCCAGAGGACCCCUAAACUCUGUUUCUAUAUGUAACUUCUGAGUAAAACCAUAAAUAAAUCAAAACUUUCAACAACGGAUCUCUUGGUUCUGGCAUCGAUGAAGAACGCAGCAAAAUGCGAUAAGUAAUGUGAAUUGCAGAAUUCAGUGAAUCAUCGAAUCUUUGAACGCACAUUGCGCCCGCCAGUAUUCUGGCGGGCAUGCCUGUUCGAGCGUCAUUUCAACCCUCAAGCACAGCUUGGUGUUGGGACUCGCGUUAAUUCGCGUUCCUCAAAUUGAUUGGCGGUCACGUCGAGCUUCCAUAGCGUAGUAGUAAAACCCUCGUUACUGGUAAUCGUCGCGGCCACGCCGUUAAACCCCAACUUCUGAAUGUUGACCUCGGAUCAGGUAGGAAUACCCGCUGAACAAAAGCAUAUCAAUAAGCG